rnacentral:lncRNA from 1 species
AUUAUAGGCAUGAGCCGUGCCUGUCCUCCACCACUAUUGUGAUGAGGACUCUUUCUGAACUCCCUGUUCCUGCUCCUUUUCCUUCUCUCCUCUUUUUCCUCCAUUCUCCGCUUUCCCUCACCUGCCUCAUUCCAUCCAUCGAAUUCUCUUUUAUUAAUUAAGCAAAGCUGCUGAACUCUAUUUUGGUAGUUUGCUUCCAAAUUCCAUCCUUAAGACCUCAUCUUCUGCCCCUUAUACGUAGUGUCAUCCCCAAGGUGAAAUGCUAGAGCUAGCUAGGAAAAAUGAGCUUUCUGAACUAGAGACUCAUGCAAAGCCAUGAAACGUUUGCAUCUAAGCAACAUAAACAAGAAGAUUUGUACAAAUUCUGUGGAAAUUUAGGAUAAGAUGUGAACGUCCUGUAGCCAUUUCUGCAAAUGUUUGAGCCUUGUCACAUGAGGAGGUGACUCUUUCACAGGAUCUUGAAGCAUGAGAAGGAAAGACGACCCCCAACCUCACCCAUUCUACGUGGAGGGAGUAGCGUAAGGGGAUGAAGAACAAAUGGCUGGAGCGCAGGGUCCUAGCGGUAGAAGACUGGGAAGUAAAGGGCAGAAAGUGGCUGUGGCUAAAUUACUGAUAGCCAGUGUAGGUUUGAAUGGCAAAGCUUCAAUUAGAGUUUUUACUUGUUUCACCUUUAACAGAAUUUUCUGCAAAAGGCAGAGGCAGCUGACAUCUUCAAAAGUUUAAGCCUUUCUACAGCAAAACUGCAGCAGCUCUAUUACAUUGAAACAGAAGGAUGAUGGGAGGGAAAUUCCUUUGGGUUCUUUGCUUGCCUAUCAAGAGGACAUCAGUCAAAAAUGCCAGUCUGAGGAGUUUGAAUUUAAUCCUGUGAUUCAGUGAUCCCAAAGGCGCUGUGUCUUCUCAAAAGAUGCAAAAGAUGGUAUGCAUCUUGUUCCUCUUUCAGACACAGGUGAAAAUUGAAGUUUCUAGAAACUGGAGUUUCCUUCUCAUCUUGUUGGCAUCUUCCCCUGGGGAGAGGGGUAAUACCUCCACAGGAACCUAGAGGUGAUGGUGUCCAGUAGCCAUGAGAUACCUGCUGCCCAGAAUGGGUUUCUAAAGGCUAUUAAAAGGAACCAGAUCUCUUGGAGAAUGGCUGAUCCUAGGCUUGAUUCAAGGAAAGUUCAAGGUGAGAAUGGGAAUCUUACCAUGCCAGAAAGCAAAAAAGUGUCAAAAGCCAAUGAAGUCAUGUCGAAAGGUUAAGGACUAGCUUGACAGCCUUCCCACCAGGGAAGAAUUUUAGAAGAAUUUGAGCAUUAUUAAGAAUGAUAAAUGUUAGUGAUUGUAAAAUGUGGAGUAAAUAAAAAUAUCUACAUCUGUAGUUAUAAAAAAGAAAGGAAGAAUGAGAAAAAGAGGAGGUCUGGAAGUAACUACUGUAAAACUCUUUCCUCUGGAAAUGGGUAACGAUGUGGAAAAAUUAGCAUUUACUCUGCCUUUAUAAACCAAUCAGUGGUUCAUCUCAAGUUGAUGAGGAAAUGCUUCUCAUCAUGGGAGAAUGCCAGCUAAGAAAUAUAAAGGAUGACAGAAUUUAAAAACAAUUAUUCAACUCUCAUAUGCUAUGGGGAGAAACACAAGAUGGUCCAGCCACCAUGAAAAAGAAUUUAGCAGUUUCUUAUGAAGUUAAACACACAUUUACUAAACAACUUAGUGAUUCUACUUCUAAGUAUUUACCCAAGUGAAAUGAAAACUUUAGUUCACACAAAGGCCUGGAAGAGAAUGUUUCUACGACUUUAUUUGGAAUUGCUCCAAACUGAACACAACCCAUCUGUCCUUCAAUUUGGGAAUUUGGGACUGAAUAAACAAGCUGGCAUACAAUGGAACACAAUGGAAUACGUGGAAUACGGUUCAGUAAUAAAAAGGAAAAAACUGCUGAUGCAUAGAACAACAUGGAGGGAUCUCAAAUGCAUUGUGCUAAGUGAAAAAAAAAACCAGACUCAAAAGGCUGUACAAUGUAUAAUUCUAGGUGUGUGACAUUCUGGAAAAAGCAAAUCUAACAGGACAGAAAAAAGAUCAGUGGCUGCCAGGGGCUGGGGCUGGGCGAGAGUUGACAUGGAGGAAUUUGGAGGGGAUAGUGGAACUGCUCUAUAUCUUUUUUUUUUUUUUUUUG